GGGGAAUUUUGCGCAAUGGGGGGAACCCUGACGCAGCGACGCCGCGUGAGCGAUGAAGGUCUUCGGAUCGUAAAGCUCUGUCCUUGGGGAAGAAGGCGAAAGCUUGACGGUACCCAAGAAGAAAGCCCCGGCUAACUACGUGCCAGCAGCCGCGGUAAUACGUAGGGGGCGAGCGUUGUCCGGAAUUACUGGGCGUAAAGGGUGCGUAGGCGGCCCUUUAAGUCGGAUGUGAAAGCCCGCGGCUUAACCGCGGAAUGGCAUUCGAAACUGGAGGGCUUGAGUGUCGGAGAGGGUAGUGGAAUUCCCAGUGUAGCGGUGAAAUGCGUAGAUAUUGGGAGGAACACCAGUGGCGAAGGCGACUACCUGGACGAUAACUGACGCUGAGGCACGAAAGCUAGGGGAGCAAAC
rnacentral:rRNA from 1 species